rnacentral:snRNA from 2 species
GGAUGUGAGGGCGAUCUGGCUGUGACAUCUGUCACCCCAUUGAUCGCCAGGGUUGAUUCGGCUGAUCUGGCUGGCUAGGCGGGUGUCCCCUUCCUCCCUCACCGCUCCAUGUGCGUCCCUCCCGAAGCUGCGCGCUCGGUCGAAGAGGACGACCAUCCCCGAUAGAGGAGGACCGUUCUUCGGUCAAGGGUAUACGAGUAGCUGCGCUCCCCUGCUAGAACCUCCAAACAAGCUCUCAAGGUUUUAAAAUCUGCCCACGUCUGGGGUGCCUGGGUGGCUCAGUCGGUUAAGCGUCCAAUCUUGAUU